AUUGAACGCUGGCGGCAUGCCUUACACAUGCAAGUCGAACGGCAGCGGGGGAGAAGCUUGCUUUUCCUGCCGGCGAGUGGCGAACGGGUGAGUAAUACAUCGGAACGUGCCCUGUAGUGAGGGAUAACUAGUCGAAAGAUUAGCUAAUACCGCAUACGACCUGAGGGUGAAAGUGGGGGACCGCAAGGCCUCAUGCUAUAGGAGCGGCCGAUGUCUGAUUAGCUAGUUGGUGGGGUAAAGGCCUACCAAGGCGACGAUCAGUAGCUGGUCUGAGAGGACGAUCAGCCACACGGGGACUGAGACACGGCCCAGACUCCUACGGGAGGCAGCAGUGGGGAAUUUUGGACAAUGGGCGAAAGCCUGAUCCAGCAAUGCCGCGUGUGUGAAGAAGGCCUUCAGGUUGUAAAGCACUUUUGUCCGGAAAGAAAUGGCUCUGGUUAAUACCUGGGGUCGAUGACGGUACCGGAAGAAUAAGGACCGGCUAACUACGUGCCAGCCGCCGCAGUAACAC
rnacentral:rRNA from 1 species